rnacentral:rRNA from 1 species
UAGGUCGACCCGCUGAAUUUAAGCAUAUCACUAAGCGGAGGAAAAGAAACUAACCAGGAUUCCCCUAGUAACGGCGAGUGAAGAGGGAAUAGCCCAGCACCGAAGCCUGUGGCAGUUUUGCUGCUAGGCAAUGUGGUGUUUAGGUCGGCUCGUGGGAUCGCCACUCCACUCGAAGUCCAGCAUUGAGUAUGGUUCCCAGGAAUUGGCCCAUAGAGGGUGAAAGGCCCGUACGAGUGGAAGUGUCAGAUGUGUAAGGCGAUUCACCAGGCCGGCCUUAGAGUCGGGUUGUUUGCGAAUGCAGCCCAAAGCGGGUGGUAAACUCCAUCCAAGGCUAAAUACUAGCACGAGUCCGAUAGCGAACAAGUACCGUGAGGGAAAGUUGAAAAGUACUUUGAAGAGAGAGUAAACAGUACGUGAAACCGCAUAGAGGUAAACGGGUGGCGUCAAGCUGCAAGCCCAGAGAAUUCAGUCGGUCAGGGUGUUGUCAUGCGCCCAGCGCAUCUAUCAGUCGGUGUGGAGUUUGGCUAGUCCGCCUGGAGAGGGCGGGCCCAGCUGUCAAAGGUUGGGAUUUGUGUGCCGGGCGGUAGCCGGAGCAUGCUAGCCAUCUGUUGGACUGCCUGGCCGAUGCACUUUCUCUGUUGGUGAACACCACGACCGGUGGUACUGCCAGUCUGCUGUAGCCAGCUUCAUUGCACGCUUCGGUGUGUAGUGAUCACAGACAAUUUCAGUGCACGGUGCUCGUGUGUUUUCCGCACGCGGGCAUGUUAUCGGGAACUGGUUGUAAGCGGGUCGGCUUGUCGAAUUGUCUGUAGUUGAAGUCGACGAGUGACCCGGUGGGUUACAGUGGUAUGAAUAACUGUGCAGGGCACCGGAGUUUUCGGUCCAUUGGCAGUCGCUCGCGAUUGCCACCGGCUGCACACGUCCUACAGUUUAGCGUGUGCACGACUGUCGUUGUUGUACGGAUGGCGCUGCCACAGCCUGCCAGUCGCUGGGUCUGAUUGUCGUGUCGCCUGCCAAAAUGGCGGGUCCGGCAGUGGCCUGAGGUUGGAUGGUGUUUGUGGUGCGCGUCGUCAUAGUGCAGCCGGAUAGUUGACCUGAUAGUCUGUGGUGUAGUGGUAGACGAGCUACCCGACCCGUCUUGAAACACGGACCAAGGAGUUUAACAUGCGCGCGAGUCAUUGGGUGCUACGAAACCCAAAGGCGCAGUGAAAGUGAAGCCUCGACAUAUAUUGUUCUCGGGGUGUGGUGAGAUCCCGCUGUUUCUCGCACACAGUUGUCCAGCACUGGGCUACCUAAACGAGCAGUGGGCGCAUCACCGGCCCGUCCCAUGAUGUGGCUAUUUGUCGGUGGCAGUCGUAGCCAGUGUCGGCUCCGGUCGGCGUUGGUGGCUGUCGUUCUGGCGGGUACGUCAUCGGGGCGGAGCAUGAGCGCGCAUGUUGAGACCCGAAAGAUGGUGAACUAUGCUUGCGUAGGUUGAAGCCAGAGGAAACUCUGGUGGAGGACCGCAGCGAUUCUGACGUGCAAAUCGAUCGUCAAACGUGAGUAUAGGGGCGAAAGACUAAUCGAACCAUCUAGUAGCUGGUUCCCUCCGAAGUUUCCCUC